rnacentral:rRNA from 1 species
UAGGUUAGCGCACAGGGGUGACACGGAAUGGGAGCCGGCCGCGGAGGUGGUUUUCCGUGGUCAAGCACGCAGCCCGUCCCAUAGGCAAAUCCGUGGGACGUUGAGGGUGAGGUGCGAUGAUGGGUGCCUUUCAGGCGCGAUAUCCGGUGGUCCAGGCCGUCGAGAAAAGCCUCGGCGCGAGGGGCGUUGCCGCCCGUACCCCAAACCGACACUGGUGGUCAGGU